AUUGAACGCUGGCGGCAGGCCUAACACAUGCAAGUCGAACGGUAACAGGAAGAAGCUUGCUUCUUUGCUGACGAGUGGCGGACGGGUGAGUAAUGUCUGGGAAACUGCCUGAUGGAGGGGGAUAACUACUGGAAACGGUAGCUAAUACCGCAUAACGUCUCAAGACCAAAAAGGGGGACCUUCGGGCCUCUUGCCAUCGGAUGUGCCCAGAUGGGAUUAGCUAGUAGGUGGGGUAACGGCUCACCUAGGCGACGAUCCCUAGCUGGUAUGAGAGGAUGACCAGCCACACUGGCACUGAGGCACGGUCCAGACUCCUGCGGGAGGCAGCAGUGGGGAAUAUUGCACAAAGGGGGCAAGCCUGAUGCAGCCAUGCCGCGUGUAUGAAGAAGGCCUUCGGGUUGUAAAGUACUUUCAGCGGGGAGGAAGGGAGUAAAGUUAAUACCUUUGCUCAUUGACGUUACCCGCAGAAGAAGCACCGGCUAACUCCGUG
rnacentral:rRNA from 1 species